ACCAGUUCCUAAUGGAGCUAGCGUUAAGUCAAUUAGAUGUCCGACUGAGAACGCUGCUCGUGUAGUUUGACGGGAUUUACUAAGAAGAAAGUUUGGAAUAUUUUCCAGGAUAUUGACAAUGAACCAGGGUCGUCAAUGCAGUGUUCCAGGCUGUACAGGGAAUGGAGACACUUUCCAUAGCCUUCCCAAGGAAGCAAACACUCGACGGGCUUGGCUGCUGUUUAUAAGGAGAUCCCAGGGAACUUUUCCCCCAAAGACAGUUUUCAAAACUUUGGACUAUUUAAAGCAGGACUUGCUAAGCUGCGGUUGCUGUUCCGACUGUCUGGUCAUCCCAACCCCAAGCUAAUACAUCACAAGAACGACAACACACGAAAGAUGCAGCUAGCCAAACAGAUGCUCCGAGUGUGGCAUCUCUGGGACACAACUGUCUCAUAAGACAUUAAGACCUCGCAUAUCAUACAAGCCACAACGGAAGACAGCCAAGGGUAAACUAAUGUACAGACGUCUGUUCCCAAAGGGGGGGGGGGGGGUACACCGUCA